ACAUCUCUAUAAUUAGUUUUUUAUUAAAUUGAUUAUGGGUUUUGAGGUUGUCAUGUAUAAUGACUCCCUUUAAAAUGAUUAGUGAUGACCUUAUGAAUGGGUUAAUACUGUGUGUUAUAAUGGAUUACAUCCAUCACCAGUCAGAGAGUAAUCUCGCCUUAGUAAUUUGUAGUGAUUGCUUCUAACUGCCAAUUUUUGGCAAACAACCUGAUCA
rnacentral:misc_RNA from 1 species